rnacentral:sRNA from 1 species
UCCUCAGUUCUUCCCUGACAUCAGCUGUCUGGAACGGCUCCCAGCCCUGGCCUUUCAGCUCACUGUGGUGCAUGAAUGACCAAAUUCCACCUGACCUUCAGCCGUGUUCUCCUGCCCAGCGGUUGGGGAACAGGGGUCUGAUUUAGGAUUUUCGGAGACCAGCUCCAUCCUGCAGUUACCUUGGGGGACUUGCUGAUUUGCUGAAGCUGUCAGAGUGCAUUCCAGCAAACUUCUGAGCAGGAGAGAUGAGGGAUGCAGACACAGUGUCUUCUAGAGCCCAGCGUGGACCCCAGCAACUCCAUUCAUGGGACAAACAGGGCUUCGCUUUCCACAAGGAUUCUAGGAGAGUUUGUGAAUUUCCAAGCAGGAAGCUUAGCCUACUCCAUGGAGGGACACAGGAGUGGCAGGGGAGUCGGGAAAAGCUGCCUUCUCCCUCAGCAAUGGCUUUGCUACAGAUGUUCUUUUCUCUGCUUAAAUAAAAACCAACGAACACAGCAACCUUCGGAUUUUAGAGCACCACACCAAGCCCUUCCUGUGAAAUCAGGAAUACAGAAGUCAUCGUGUGUAGGGGACAAGUAUGACGACCCAAACAGAGACAGAACAGUGAGCAGAGAUGACUUGGAGCCCAGGAGAGCUCUUCUACAGACAACCCCUCCCCACCACAGCAAACGCAGGGAACUGUCUUAAGGCAAACGUCAACCCUGACAACAGGAAUCCGCUUCCCAAUCUGGAAGGGACAGGGCCCACUGUACACAGCAAACGUACACGUUUCUGACUCUAAAACUGGAAUGUGCAUGCUGGAGAGAGUCUAAAAAUUGCCACAAAAGAAUGAAGAAAGUGGAAUAAAAAUAAAUUAAAAUCCCACCACAAAGAGAUUUAACAUAGUGGCGUCCCCAUGGGCUUCUCUUUGAGU